rnacentral:rRNA from 1 species
CGGCGCACGGGUGCGUAACGCGUAUGCAAUCUACCUUUCACAAAGGGAUAGCCCAGAGAAAUUUGGAUUAAUACCUUAUAGUAUAUCGAGUUGGCAUCAACAUGAUAUUAAAGAUUUAUCGGUGAAAGAUGAGCAUGCGUCCCAUUAGCUAGUUGGUAUGGUAACGGCAUACCAAGGCUACGAUGGGUAGGGGUCCUGAGAGGGAGAUCCCCCACACUGGUACUGAGACACGGACCAGACUCC